rnacentral:rRNA from 1 species
AUUGAACGCUGGCGGCAUGCCUUACACAUGCAAGUCGAACGGCAGCAUGGGUGCUUGCACCUGAUGGCGAGUGGCGAACGGGUGAGUAAUGCAUCGGAACGUACCCGGAAGUGGGGGAUAACGUAGCGAAAGUUACGCUAAUACCGCAUAUUCUGUGAGCAGGAAAGCGGGGGAUCGCAAGACCUCGCGCUUCCGGAGCGGCCGAUGUCGGAUUAGCUAGUUGGCGGGGUAAAGGCCCACCAAGGCAACGAUCCGUAGCGGGUCUGAGAGGAUGAUCCGCCACACUGGGACUGAGACACGGCCCAGACUCCUACGGGAGGCAGCAGUGGGGAAUUUUGGACAAUGGGGGCAACCCUGAUCCAGCCAUGCCGCGUGAGUGAAGAAGGCCUUCGGGUUGUAAAGCUCUUUCGGCUGGGAUGAAAUCGCAUCUCCUAAUACGGGGUGUGGAUGACGGUACCAGCAUAAGAAACACCGGCUAACUACGUGCCAGCCGCCGCCGUAACAC